rnacentral:lncRNA from 1 species
GCGCGCGCGAGAGAAAGAGCGCGAGGUCGAGGCGCGAAGUGUAAUAUCAGUGUUGUGUCCAUUAAACACAAACAAACACAUUUAACUCCACAAAAAUAAUCUACAGUCUGUCUUUACUAGUUCUGUACAGUUCAAACACUGAUUUCUAGAUUACCCGCGGAGAGUUAGAUUACUGCAGAGAGCUGCUGAGAAAUGACUCCAGGCAAGGACAUCAGCUACAGCGGACCAGCCAUCAUUCAUAAAACACCACAAAACAGACAUUGGAGUAUUGCUGUGUGGAUUUGAUUGCAUGUAACAACAAGCAUGAGAUGAUCCCCCA